GAUGAACGCUGGCGGCGUGCCUAACACAUGCCAGUCGAGCGACCGGACGAUAAGCUUGCUUCUCUGAUGGUAGCGGCGGACGGGUGAGUAACACGUGGAUCACCUACCUAUAAGACUGGGAUAACUACGGGAUACCGAUGCUAAUACCGUAUCAUAUUUUGAACCUCAUGGUUCAAAAGUUCAAGACGGUCUUGCUGUCAUUUCUAGCUGGUUCCGCGCGGCAUUAGCUAGUUGGUAAGGUAACGGCUUACCAAGGCACCCAUGCAUAGCCGACCUGAGAGGGGGAUACGCAACAAUGGAAGUGAGACACGGUACAGAAUCCGACGGGAGGCAGCAGUAGGGAAUCGAGGGAAAUGGGCGAAAGACUGACGGAGCAACGCCGCGUGAGUGAAGAAGGUCUGCGGAUGGUAAAACUCUGUUAUUAGUGAAGAACACAUGCGUAAGUAACUGUGCACAUCUUGACGGUACCUAAAGAGAAAGCAACGGCUAACUACGUG
rnacentral:rRNA from 1 species